GUUUUAAUAAUUUAACAAAAAUAUUGGUCUUGUAAACCAAAAAUAAGGAACUCGCCUUUUAAAACU
rnacentral:tRNA from 1 species